UUAGUAACGGCGAGUGAAGCGGCAAAAGCUCAAAUUUGAAAUCUGGCACUUUCAGUGUCCGAGUUGUAAUUUGAAGAAGGUAACUUUGGAGUUGGCCCUGUCUAUGUUCCUUGGAACAGGACGUCACAGAGGGUGAGAAUGCCGUGCGAUGAGGUGUCCAAUUCUAUGUAAAGUGCUUUCGAAGAGUCGAGUUGUUUGGGAAUGCAGCUCUAAGUGGGUGGUAAAUUCCAUCUAAAGCUAAAUAUUGGCGAGAGACCGAUAGCGAACAAGUACAGUGAUGGAAAGAUGAAAAGAACUUUGAAAAGAGAGUGAAAAAGUACGUGAAAUUGUUGAAAGGGAAGGGCUUGAGAUCAGACUCGGUAUUUUGCAAGCCUAUCCUUCGUGGAGAGUUUAUUUAGCAGCUUACCGGGCCAGCAUCGGUUUGGAUGGUAGGAUAAUAUUCAUUGGAAUGUGGCUCUCGGAGUGUAUAGCCUUUGUCAUACUGCCUAUCUGACCGAGGACUGC
rnacentral:rRNA from 2 species